ensembl:lncRNA
GCAGGGGAGGGGUUCCCAAACACUCAGAGGGGAGCACUCCAGAGGGGGGGCGGGGCCCUACUGUGACCUAAACCAGCGCCCAAGAAUCUGGCAUGGCCAGCCGUCAGACCCCAGCUCAGGAGUGCAGGGUGAGCAUUGAUGCCGUGAUUGGAGGCAGCCCAGCCCCUCAACUGCCUACCAGGAUCCUCUGUCUAUGGGAUUUUCCAGGCAAGAGCACUGAAGUGGAACCUAGUGCUGUUUCAAGACACAGAAAGCUUUCUACAGAUGCUGAAAGAACGAUGGAAGGGAUGAAUGAAUGCAUGAGGGAAAUUGAAAACAUCCGUCUUGAGGAAGGGUCCAUAAGUUUCACGAGCUUUUCAUGGAGAUGUCACAGGCACCUUGAAGGCUGAGUUCUGAAAUAUGUUUAAUUUAUUCUAAAACAUCUGACCACAAGGUAAACAUGUGGCCAAGAAACAGGUACUGUAAAAGCGACUAAAGCUGCAAAGACCAAAGUACAGAUUCCAGGUUUUAUUGCUUCUAAUGGC